UCGUAAGUUAUUUUGGGAAAAAACGACAUGUAUCCAAAUUCAGGGUUAUUUUGGCUAGAAGUUUGUGUGAUCUGUGUACCGGUCCUCCAGAGAAGCUGCGAGCGGACCUGAGCUCCUCCGCCGGCCCUCGACACGCAAACGAGGCUGGAAACAUGUGACCGGUUUUAACGUUCACACCUGCGAUCACACAGAAA